GCUCCGCAUCUGCACUGUCCAUUCUGCUCCCAGGACAGUCUCUUCACUGAGGAGAUUCUCCUCAAGGCGCACUACGUACAGGGUCAAGUACGUGGAUAAAGGCAUCAACUUUGGGGGAUGUCAACCAGAUCUUCACCACAUACACUGACCCAGCACCCAACAGUACCAGCCUGGUAACACACCUCAUAGUCCCCCAGUCACAGCAGCCAUCGGAGACAGACACAUCAUCCCCGGGGCUAUGAGCAGACUGAUGGGCAGCAGCCGCAGAUCGAGUACCAGUAUGCCUGCAUCAAUGAUCCGAGUCAGAGCACUGCCAAUGGGGGAGUUGUCCUUAUUGAAAUACCAGACGAAGGAAGCAAAGAGGAUUUGGAGGACGAGACUUGCUACACAGAGCACAACUUGUCGCUGCUGCUGCAGGAGAAGGAAAGUCUGGAGAAGACUCUCGAGGAGGAGCGGACCACGUGGGCCCAGACAGAGCACAGGAUGAAAGGCACUAUAGAAAAGGCUUCGUACAAAGGUUGAGUAUUUGUCCAACACAAACAUGUCACUCAAGCAGCAGCUGUCCAUGAUUCACACGUCCAGUUUGAAACAUCUAACCAACGACAGCGAGAACCAGUCCAUUUUGCAAGAGUUACUGCAACACAUGUCUGAGGAGCACACUCAGCUGCUGCACCACCAUCUAGCACAGCUACGGCUGUACGCUCAGGCCUGCGCAUUAUCCAAAUCAGCCCCCGAGGAAUCUGCAGCUGAAUCUACAGUCUUGGUACCAGACCUGGCUGACCAAUCACAGGACAUCUCACACAUGGCCAUGAUGUCGUCCUCGGAGGGCACCCUUGGGAACAUGGAGCAGACAGUCGUCAUGACGAUAACGUCUGAGGAGGAUUCGGAGCCGUCGGCAACAUCGUGGAUAACCCCGGAGAUACUGUGGGACAUGACUCCUUGACUUUGGAUAAGGACGUUCACUUGUCACCAAAUGACAUUCUGUACCGACUGACAAGCGAGGGACUGUCAUCAAGACAUGCCACCUCUGAGUCGGGUCACGUUUAUCAAUCAGGUAGAACUCAUUCACAUCACAACACAGGCUGUGAUGUCACGCAACAGGAUUUUCACAAGAACAAAAGUUGAAAAUUGGUUCUUUCCAACAGCAUGCCAAAAAUAUUCUGCCCCGAUGGCUUUGACAAAAGAACGUUUGAUGACAACAUGUCAAAUGAGGGACCACCAUUAAAAUGUGGGAGAACUAACAGCCUGAAAGCCACUUAACUAAAUAAAACCGGACAUAUUUUGUAAACAGUGUACACUCAGUGUUGUCCGAGGG
rnacentral:misc_RNA from 1 species